AGGCUGGCAGAGAGGUAACCACCCCAGCAAGUGUGGUGGAAGGUGAGGCAGUCUGCUCUGUGCUUGACAGGAGCACCGGAGCCUCACAGCAUCUGGUCAUGAGCUCUGCAACUACGAGAAUUGUGCUAAAGAAGAACCUGAGGGAAGAAGGGCUGCCUAAGACUGAGGUUCCCUUUUUUAACCUCUGCAGUGAUUUGAAGAGGAUUGCCAUUGCACCCUGAAAGUUCACCAAUUCAAAUAUGCUAUAUUUCUGGGAAGAGAGGCCCAAGCUAUCAUUGGACUGGUGUGUGCUACUUCACCAUGUAUCCUGCCCACGAUAGUUCCUUCGAGAUGUUACUGAAUUACAAGGUCUGAGAAAUCCCAACCACUAGCCAACAGAUCCCUAAGAACAGCAUCAAGACACAAAGGGAUGUGUUCUUCACUUUCUGCCUGUGGCCCUCAAAGGAAGGAAGUUGCCAGCACAACGUGUGUGUGCAUCCAGAAAUCUCAAAAUCGGCGAAAGAUGCUUUGACGUCAGUUUCUUGACCCUUGAUUCUGUCCUGACUAGAACAAAAUCUCUGCCUAGACAACACCAUGAAGGAGCACUUCAGCGCUGUGUGACAACCAAUGAGCCUUUCAGCUAACAUGCCCAACGUCUGCUAAAUGGACACAGGGAGAUGCUUGGCUGGUUCCUGACUUGAAGGAUAAAUACACGCUGAGAUGAAACUGACUUCCCGCAAGAAUGUAACUGUCUCUAUUUGGCACAGUUGCCUACUAAUGAUUAAUGAUUCAGAAGUCUUAACUCUGUAAAAUUAGGUUGAAAUUGCCCAAGUGGUGUCCUAAGUUAGUAGUGAAAGGACUGGAACAGACACGAGUACAAGUUACAUGUUCUAGUUCUGUUGGAAAACAGAAAAGAAUUAUCAUAGAAUCACAGAAUGGCUUGUGUUGGAAGGGACCUUUAUGAUUAUCAAAUUCCAGCCCCCUGCUGUGGGCCGGGUGGCCACCCACCAGAUCAGGCUGCCCAAAGCCUCAUCCAACCUGGCCUUGAACACCUACAGUGAUGGGGCAUCCACAGCUUCUCUGGGCAGCCUGGGCCACUGCCUCACCACCCUCUGAGUAAAUAAUUUCCUCCUAACAUUCAAUCUAAAUGUCCCCUCUUUUAGUUUAAAGCCAUUCCCCCUUGUUCUAUCACUGUCUGCACAUGUAAUAUUAUGUUAACAAGACAUCAUUUUAAAGAAGAGCCAUCCUGGGAAGUGGUGAUCAGCUUCUCUCAUGUGUUUUAAGUCAGGGAUCGCUUAUCCAAAAAGAAGAGACAGACUGACUGUUCGAGAAUUUGCUUUAUCUUGCUCAUCAUGUAUAUAUUUUAGUUAGGGACUAAAAUAAAAUAUUUAAGGUAUCAGAAAAACAGGAGGACUUGCAGUGACUGUUUCCCCAACAGACUUUUUGCAGACUGCUCACAUAUGUCAGCGAUACAAAGUGGUGCAUUUGCUGAGGUAAAAAGACUCUGCGCCAGAGGGCUGUAGAACACAUUGCCUCCUCCCUUGGGGCUUCAGGUACCUGCUGCAAGACACUUUGCUAUCCCUUUCCGUAAAUAAUAAAUGCAAUUACUGUUGUUGUUUCCUGGCCUACAUGGCUACGACUGCUGGGUUUUCAUCUGAGUUAUGGUUUUGAGCAAGCUGAGGAUUUUGGUUUUGAUGAGAGCUUGCUGAUCAUCUGCUGUGUUUAUUCGUGGCAUCAGAUAUUUCCCAAGAUAUGGAUCCUAAAUAUUGUGGUUCACAUUCUGUUUUGAAGGAAAAACAGUAUACUUAUCCAGAAGAGUUUUUUGAAAACCAAUUUAUAAUUUAUCUUUUUUACUGUUGCUGUCAACAGUCAUCUGUAGUUAGUUUGAAAUGACCUGAAUAUAAUAUUUUUAUUCUAUUUACUAGUUGAGUAAUUCCCAUAGAUAAUUCUUGGUUUAGGAAUUGUUUUGUUUGUGAACUUCAAGCAGGCCAGGUAACUGCCUGUUCCCUGUCCAGCCAAACCCUUCAGGAUGACCUUUCUGUUAAAUCCAGGUAAAAUGUCAAGAACUCUUGUCUGUUGAGUGUUUCUUCAUAGUUGCUUGUGAUGCAUUUUAUUCACCUACUUAGAAAAAGUAUACAGAAAUUGUCAGCACAGUAAAAGUAAACUGGAGUUAUUCAUGCAAAUAACUCUUCGUGGUUUAAAAAAAUGUCGCUUUUUGCAUCUUGUAUUUUGUGCUUAUUAAAUGUGAGUGGAAUAGAUUAGUAUAAUGAAUAUAAAUUUCUGCUAAAACAGUCAAAUGAAGAAGUAGAUGCUUUCUGGGAGAUAUUACUGAGCUAAAUGUGAGGUCCUGGUCUCUCUUAAAGUAUAAAUUGAUUAGACGAUGUCAGACCAGCUGAUGCAGUGGUAUCUCCUCAUUUAAAGUCUUAUGAUUUAUCUAUGCCAUAGAUAUUGUACACACCUCUGUAUUUGAGUUAUGUCUUGCACUUAACUUCUUUGUGGUACUUAGCAUUGACAGGGGAAGAACAUUUACAUUUUAAAGUGAUUUUUACUGUAAGUUAGUGGCACUAUCUGUGUACUCUUGCAGUCUGUCUAUAAAUAUGAGGGUGCUCUAAAGGUAAUGCCUCCUAUUUUAUUAUUUUGGCCCAUGAAAUUGAAAGCAGAUGUCAGUGGAAUGGUAGGAGAUGUUGAACCUUCCUGACAAUAUUCCGUUACGUGUUGUUGCCAUGUGACAGAUGGCAGCAGAGGGGCAGUCUGACAGAAUGGCAUCUGACAUGGAAGUGCGUACGAAGCAAAGGUGUGUCACUCAGUUCCUCUAUGUGGAAACAAUGGCUUGCAGCGACAUUGAAGCUUGCUGGACAUUUGUGGGGACCAAGCAGUGGAUGUGAGCACA